GACGAACGCUGGCGGCGUGCCUAAUACAUGCAAGUAGAACGCACAGGAUGCACCGUAGUUUACUACACCGUAUUCUGUGAGUUGCGAACGGGUGAGUAACGCGUAGGUAACCUGCCUGGUAGCGGGGGAUAACUAUUGGAAACGAUAGCUAAUACCGCAUAAGAACAUUUACUGCAUGGUAGAUGUUUAAAAGGUGCAAAAGCAUCACUACCAGAUGGACCUGCGUUGUAUUAGCUAGUUGGUGAGGUAACGGCUCACCAAGGCAACGAUACAUAGCCGACCUGAGAGGGUGAUCGGCCACACUGGGACUGAGACACGGCCCAGACUCCUACGGGAGGCAGCAGUAGGGAAUCUUCGGCAAUGGGGGGAACCCUGACCGAGCAACGCCGCGUGAGUGAAGAAGGUUUUCGGAUCGUAAAGCUCUGUUGUUAAGGAAGAACGUGUGUGAGAGUGGAAAGUU
rnacentral:rRNA from 1 species